rfam:Gossypium raimondii Chr04_contig_360, whole genome shotgun sequence.
AGUUAAUGGUGUGGGCACUUCCUUAGAAUUGUCUUGAAACACUCCCACGCCUCGUAUAAAGACUCACCUUCAUAUUGUUUAAAAUUUGUGAUAUCCCGCCGAAGCU